rnacentral:rRNA from 1 species
AUGGCAGGGUCUAGAUCGAGUGUUCAUGGAGAAAACCAUGGGGAGGAAGAUGCCUCGGUCACACGUGUCGAGCUGCAGCGACUCGAGAACAACUUACUCCAAGCCAUGGAAAGGAUGCUUCACGAGCGUCCUCUAGCAGGUGGUGAUAGGGUUCGACAUCGACAACACCCUAUUGAUCCACUUGAGGAAGUUGGCGAUGAGAAUUCUGUGCAUGCUACUGUUGACGGUGACUUGGAGGAUGAUAACAACAACCAUGGUGGACAUGUGGCUGCUGCUCGUGGGCGUGGUGCUGCUACUCAUGGAGGGCAGCAAGGAGGACAACUUCGAGGGCGAGGCCAUGGUCCUCGUGGUCACUACUAUGACCCUCAUGAGCGUGUUGCUCGUGGUCAUGGAGAUGAUUUUGAUAAUUAUGAUGAUGUCCCAUACCGCCGUGCUGCUGAAGAUGGGCGUCGUGCAGAAUGUCAUGAUCGAGAUGACAUGGCAAGAAUCAGGUUGCACGUCCCCAAAGUCAACCUUGCUUGUGUUGAGUUUUCUGGUUACGCACUCACUUGGUGGAACCAACUCCAAGAAAAUCAGCUCCUGCUAGGCCGUGACCACAUUGACACUUGGGAAGAGAUCAAACAAGCCAUGAGGCGAAGGUUUGUUCCUUCGCAAUAUCAAAGAGAUCUCCGAAAUAGAUUGAAGUGCCUCAGCCAAGGUACGUGCACGGUGGAUGAGUACUACAAAGAGAUGGAAUUGUUGCUGGUUCGUGCCCGUAUUCAUGAAGAUGAGGAGUCAAAGAUGGCAAGAUUUCUGCAUGGUCUCAACAAUGAAAUUUCAGAUUUUGUGGAGAUGUUUCCUAUAACACUCUACAAGAUAUUUUGGAGCAAGCAAAGCGUACGGAGAGGAAGGUACAGCGGGGUGGUCAUGGACGGAUAUCUCAUAGCCGCACCACCACACCAUGGCAAAGGUCGCAACCAAGUGCCUCUCAUGGUGGUUCUCAGUUUCAGCAUACUUAACACCCUACCACCACCUGGUGAACAACGGCUUCAUCGGCAUCAUCAUCGUCUCCUAGGGAAUGUUGACAAGCGUGCUCCUUCUGCUGCUGGAAGUACUUCUAACCCCACGGCUGUACCACCAUCUCGAAGCCAAGAUAUUGAGUGUUGGAAGUGCAAAGGGCAUGGUCACAUUUCUUCUGAAUGUCGAAACAAGAGAGUUCUCUUUGUGAAUGAACAAGGUGAAUGGGAAUCUGAGAGUGAGCAUGAAGACAAUGGAGCAUUGGGUGAUCAUGAGGAUGAAGAGGGCGAGAAGAGUGGUUGUGAUAUUCAGGCCGACAUGGGAGAUUGCUUUGUUUAUCGUCGGAUUAGUUAUGAUGGCUAG